rnacentral:rRNA from 1 species
UAGGGAAUCUUCCGCAAUGGACGCAAGUCUGACGGAGCAACGCCGCGUGAGUGAAGAAGGUUUUCGGAUCGUAAAACUCUGUUGUUAGAGAAGAACAAGUGCUAGAGUAACUGUUAGCGCCUUGACGGUAUCUAACCAGAAAGCCACGGCUAACUACGUGCCAGCAGCCGCGGUAAUACGUAGGUCCCGAGCGUUGUCCGGAUUUAUUGGGCGUAAAGCGAGCGCAGGCGGUUAGAAAAGUCUGAAGUGAAAGGCAGUGGCUCAACCAUUGUAGGCUUUGGAAACUGUUUAACUUGAGUGCAGAAGGGGAGAGUGGAAUUCCAUGUGUAGCGGUGAAAUGCGUAGAUAUAUGGAGGAACACCGGUGGCGAAAGCGGCUCUCUGGUCUGUAACUGACGCUGAGGCUCGAAAGCGUGGGGAGCGAACAGGAUUAGAUACCCUGGUAGUCCACGCCGUAAACGAUGAGUGCUAGGUGUUAGGUCCUUUCCGGGACUUAGUGCCGCAGCUAACGCAUUAAGCACUCCGCCUGGGGAGUACGACCGCAAGGUUG